rnacentral:lncRNA from 1 species
CUUUACACUGUGUCAGUCUAACUAAGCAGGAACCAUGCCUCCCAAAAUUCACUCCCCUGCAUGUCCCAGAGUAGAGCUGGUCAAAUUAGGCCAUUGAAGUUUUGCAACCAUCAUGUGAUAAAAUGAAUUAUUAAUCUCAUAUUUGCUCAGAGUGCAGAAGGCCAUGUAUGGGGAAUGGCAAAGGUUUCUAAGUUGUUGAAGAGAAUAGGAAAGGGAUGUAGCAAGAAGAUAAAAGGUUGCUGGUACUGGGCAUCGAAAGACCCAGUUGAGGCUGAGACACAAAUGGUGGCAGUGUGCAUGGCCUUUCCCCCAAAACACUGCUCAGCUGACCAGGUGUGAAAGGAUAGGAGAGUAGGGGGAGGUGUUUUGCUGAGUGGGUACAGAGGAAGGAUGGGUGCGGGGAGGCAAAGAUAUCAAGGGUGUUGAGGGGAGAGUAGCUCAGAUGAUCACAGGACUUGGACUGGGAAGGGAAGGGAGGGAGGCGAGGAGGGUGCUUCUGUUAGCCAGCGUUCUCGUUAGAGGGAGCAGGAUCCGCUCCAGCUAGUUUAGCAGAAAGUGAUAUAGAUAGCUCAAAAAAAUCCCUGAGAGGUGCAAAGAAACAGACUCUUGGCUGAGCUUCCAGGAAUGACUCCCCACCACACACGGUGGAGCCGGCCCAUCAAAGGAGCUGAGCCUCCGCCAUCAUCACGAAGCUUUCACUUGGGGACCGGCCACCACAGCUGCCCGCGAGAGAACCAAACCCCCAAUGCCACCACCAUCCUCCUGGAAAACAGAGGCCUCUGCUCUGCCUUCCCUGGAGAACUCGGUUUUGAGUCAAAGCCUGACGUAGAAGCAUUAUGGUUGGUGACACCUAAAUCACACAUCUGCCCCUGGCAGCAAGGGGGCAAGGGGGACCUGCGUGUGUGUGUGUGUGUGUGUGUGUUUCAUCUCCCUUCCCCCUUGCACCCCUGUUGAGAGGUUGGUAUUUACACUAUGAAAAACCAUCAAAGUGUGGAAAGAGUUCAGGAGGUUUUGGGCAGCCAGUCACUAUAGCACGGGUCCCCAAUCCCUGGGCUGUGGACUGGUACCAGACCAUGGCCUGUUAGGAACCAGGCUGCACAGCAGGAGGUGAGUGGCAGGUGAGUAAGCAUUACCACCUGAGCUCUGCCUCCUGUCAGAUCAGCGGGGGGCAUCAGAUUCUCAUAGGAGCAUGAACCUUAUUGUGAACUGCACAUGUGAGGGAUCUAGGCUGUGAGCUCCUUAGGAGAAGCUAAUGCCUGAUGAUCUGAGGUGGAACAGUUUCAUCCCGAAGUCAUGCCCCUUCCA